rnacentral:rRNA from 1 species
UACGUAGGUGACCAGCGUUGUCCGGAUUCACUGGGCGUAAAGAGCGCGCAGGCGGUCGUUCAAGUCGAGUGUGAAAGCCCCCGGCUCAACUGGGGAGGGUCACGCGAUACUGUUCGACUCGAAGGCAGGAGAGGGAAGUGGAAUUCCCGGUGUAGUGGUGAAAUGCGUAGAUAUCGGGAGGAACACCAGUGGCGAAGGCGACUUCCUGGCCUGUUCUUGACGCUGAGGCGCGAAAGCUAGGGUAGCAAACGGG